AAGUCGUAACAAGGUCUCCGUUGGUGAACCAGCGGAGGGAUCAUUACCGAGUUUACAACUCCCAACCCUUUGUGAACAUACCUAUCGUUGCCUCGGCGGGACCGUGCCCCGGCGCCAGCGCGCUGGCACCAGGCCCCGCGAGCACCAACUCUGUUUCUCAAGUUUCUUCUGAGUGGCUUUCGAGCAAAAAAUAAAUUAAAA
rnacentral:misc_RNA from 1 species